rnacentral:tRNA from 3 species
GCCGGGAUGGCGAAAUGGUAGACGCGCUAGAUUUAGGAUCUAGUGUCCGCAAGGACGUGGAGGUUCAAGUCCUCUUCCCGGCA